rnacentral:rRNA from 1 species
UCAGGAUGAACGCUGGCGGCGUGCCUAACACAUGCAAGUCGAACGAAGCACUUCUGGUUGAGAUUCGUCAAGAACCGGAUUGACUAGUGGCGGACGGGUGAGUAAUGUAUGAGCAACCUGCCUUUCAGAGGGGGACAACAGUUGGAAACGACUGCUAAUACCGCAUAAUGUAUUCGGGAGGCAUCUCUGGAAUACCAAAGGAGCAAUCCGCUGAAAGAUGGGCUCAUAUCUGAUUAGUUAGUUGGCAGGGUAACGGCCUACCAAGACUGCGAUCAGUAGCCGGACUGAGAGGUUGAACGGCCACAUUGGGACUGAGAUACGGCCCAGACUCCUACGGGAGGCAGCAGUGGGGAAUAUUGGGCAAUGGGCGAAAGCCUGAACCCCAGCAACGCCGCGUGAAGGAAGAAGGUCUUCGGAUUGUAAACUUCUUUUAUGAGGGACGAAGGAUGUGACGGUACCUCAUGAAUAAGCCACGGCUAACUACGUGCCAGCAGCGGC